AGUGAACGCUGGCGGUAGGCCUAACACAUGCAAGUCGAACGGCAGCACAGUAAGAGCUUGCUCUUACGGGUGGCGAGUGGCGGACGGGUGAGGAAUACAUCGGAAUCUACUUUUUCGUGGGGGAUAACGUAGGGAAACUUACGCUAAUACCGCAUACGACCUACGGGUGAAAGCAGGGGAUCUUCGGACCUUGCGCGGUUGAAUGAGCCGAUGUCGGAUUAGCUAGUUGGCGGGGUAAAGGCCCACCAAGGCGACGAUCCGUAGCUGGUCUGAGAGGAUGAUCAGCCACACUGGAACUGAGACACGGUCCAGACUCCUACGGGAGGCAGCGGUGGGGAAUAUUGGACAAUGGGCGCAAGCCUGAUCCAGCCAUACCGCGUGGGUGAAGAAGGCCUUCGGGCUGUAAAGCCCUUUUGUUGGGAAAGAAAAGCAGCAGGUUAAUACCCCGCUGUUCUGACGGUACCCAAAGAAUAAGCACCGGCUAACUUCGUG
rnacentral:rRNA from 1 species